rnacentral:lncRNA from 1 species
CCGUGGCUUCUGGAUCCUUCUAGAUUGAGGAAAAUUGCGCGGCACGUAAUUAUCUCGUUGUAAACAUGACAUGUGGGCCUUCUCUCCCUAUUUUCUGAUAAACCCCUGUAGAAAUAGAUAAACACCAAAGCUCGUGGAAUUCUGUCAGAUAAAACCCCUAUUCUAGAUGUUUGUUUCAUAUUGAUCCUUUUUCAUGUUUAUUUGAUUAUUAAUUUUAGUACUUAAGGACCGUCAACAAACUCCCCCAAGCUUACCCUUUGCUCGUCCCUGAGCAAAUAGCUAAACUCAGAUGGAUCUGGAGUUGCUUCGAUGUUUUCUUUCCUGACAGGCACACAUGCUUUUACAUAAAAAAUUCUUCCAGAUUAGAGUGAAGUGUUAUGGAGUUUAGUACCUGUACUUAAAUCUUAAGUAAUCGAAAGACAAAAUAGUUAAGUCAAGCACUAUCCCUCCUGCCUAUACUUCACCUUUGUUCUAGAGUUUUUCAUAAGUUUUCAAAAUAAAACUCAGAGUUCCCAGCAAUGAUUCUCUCAGGUCUCUCUAUAUGUGGUAUUUGUGGAUCCUUACCAUAAUGUCACUUACCUAUAGCUAAUGGAAUAUUUAAGUGGAGCUCAUAGGAGUGGAAAACAGCUCAUACAUAUGUUGUCUAAUCGAGCCUUGGAUCCAAAGGAACUCAGCAUAUAAUUAAAUUAAGAUGUGCAUGUGUGGUGGAGUAAAUGAUAGUGAUGAUGAAAAUGCGAUAGUGUUAAUAAAUCUUAGUUCUCAUUGCUCUUCAUAUUGCUAUCUCUCCUCCUCUUUGAUCUUUGCCUUGGGAGAACAUGGGCUUUUUUUUUCAGGUGGGUAGUAGAUACCCCUAAUUCUACUGUCGGACACUUGUCCAUUUUUUUCGCUCAAGUGGGUAUCUUUGUACCCCUAAUUCUACUUCGGACACUUGUCCAUUUUUACCUCUCGUCUCACUCUUUUUCUUUCUUUUCCGAGGUUCCUGGGCACUUGCCCCUUUUUAUUUCCUCGUAUAUUUUUUUGCAUAACCCAUGCCUCUUCUGCAUUGAAUCUUUUUAGAGAGAGAGAAUAACAAUACUUGGGACAGUGAGUGAUAAUAUUUUUAGCAAUUUUAAUGAUUGGUGAUGAAUGCUGUGGUAGAUGUGUGCAAGUGAAUAUCUUAAUUUAACCACAUGAAAAGCUCCUAAGGGUCAACACAGCUCGAUCAAACUCAAUGUAAAUAUAGUAAAAGAUGUUAUAGCAAGUAUGGCUGUGGUAGGUAGUUUGUUACGCUAGGAACUCAUCAUGUGAUUUGUAAGUUUUCAAAGUAAAUCUCCAGAACUUAGUGUAGUAGGAACAAGAUAAACAGUAGCUCAACUUUAUAUCAUGCCUUUCUCUUACCUAGACUUUAGUGUUAUGCUUCCCAAAGAUAGUAAUUUUAGUUUUAGUAAUUCCUGGAAGAACUCUAAUAUAAAGGCUAGGUACUUGUAAGUAAGCAAACAGAGCAACUGUUCAUCAUUUCCAUCAUGCAUAUUUUUGGUCUUUUUAUUUUUUU